CUGGCUUGGUUCUGUUCUAGGCAAACCUGGCAGUUCAGUGUCAUCUCUCCUCCGAUCCCCUCCCUGCCUUCAACUCCCAUCUCGCCUCCAUUCCCAAGAUUUCUCCAAGAUCAUCCUCACUCAAACCUCCCAUUCCAAGCGUGAGAUUCAGUGUGCUGUUCAACCUCGCCCCAGAGGAGUUCAAGGUCCUGCCCCAGACGAGCACCAUCAUCAGUCAAAGGGGGGAAUGAAGAGUUAGGAAGACGCAGGGAACACAAAUAGAAAGACUUUGCUACCAUGGCUGAGGAUAUUUGGACCCUAAAUCUUGAAUGUGAUGGAGCAGCUUCAGGAUAGAAAUAUGCGAAAAGGGAAAUGGACAGAGAUGAAAUAUGUUACUUUAACUUGAUUAGUUUGAUCGAGGAAUAUGGGUACAAAUCUAUUGCCUAUCUAUACUACAAGAGAAGUGAUAGUUUGGUUGCAAUACAAUGGGAUACUGAGGUGAUGGAAAUGCUUAAAGAGAAUGAGAGCAAGAAGGAGGUUAGCUUGUUUGUGACAAGGCAGAAAAUUGCUAUCAUAGCACCUGAGUCCAACAAAGAAGCAACCAAACCCGCACCAAAGAAGGCUAAAGGGAAAAGGGAUACGAAGAAAAGGCAGGAGCUAAAUGUAAUUCAAACUGAAGCACAAUAUGCCAAUGAAGUUGACCAACAGCAUGACGAUGACAUCGAAGAAAUGCUAGGUGAUGUCAAUAAUGAAGUAACCAGGUGAAAGGGAACAGUUCUGACACAUGUUUGGAAUUUACCAGAGGAAAAACGAAUACCAGUUUGGACAGCCUAUAGGAAAACAAGGUGGUCUUUUAGGGCAAUUUUUAGGCACCAUAGCCCGAAAUGGUUGGAGAAACGUCAAGAAGGAUAAUUCUGAAACCAUACUUCAAUGCAUUCAGACAAAGUUCUUGUAUCCUCGCUCAUGUGACAAAUGGAUAUUGAAAUCGAUCGGGAGAGAUUGGAGAAAGUACAAGUAACACUAAAAACGAAGCUAUUUAACCCAAAGAAGAAAAGGCCAGCUUUGUAUAAGCUCUGUCCAGAUGAUAUUGAUGAAGAUCAAUGGAAAGGAAUUGUUAAAUAUUGGAAGUCAUAAGAAGGAAAGACCCAUAGUGAGAAGAACAAAAUAAGUCGUGAAAUGAAGAAGACAACACAUACAGCGGGUGCAAAGAGUUAUGCUCGUUGGUCUGAGGAAUUGGCUGAGUCGGAAAAUCUCAUAGAUAAACGACCAGAGUUAGCACAAAAUAGUGAGGGAAGAGUUGCAUGGGAAGGUGAUGCAUUACAUCAAGUGUUGGGAGAAGAGAAAUCUGGACAAGUAUAUGGAAUGGGAUUGCUUCCAAUUCCUAAACAAGUUUAUGGCCGAACAACACGUCGUUUCAAGGACAUUAAUAUAGCUACAAUAGAUGGAUCAUCCGCUGAUGUAGAGAUUCAUAUGUUGGAGGAAAUUAAGCAACUCAAGGAGCAUAUGAGAAAUCGAGACAAAGUCAUUGAUGAGCUCUUAAUAAACAAGCAGGGGCACCAUGGGAAUGAAGAACCAACAAAGGCCAAUUGCAUAUCAACUGAUGAUCAUGAUAAUUUUCGUAAUCAUGUAGCACAUUCCAACAGAAAGAGAGUUCAAUGUGCUAAACCAAACUGUGGAGAAGCAUUUUGUAAACAGAGGGAUAGAUUGGUAAGUCGCACUCCUAGUACAAAUGUUACCUUUGUCCUCUGCAUAGAUGUAUAUGAUAACUUAUACUAUCCCCUUUAUUCUAUUUACUAGAACAAACAUACAUGUGAAUAUGAAUAUAGUGACGUUGGUGAUUAAUUUUGUCCAACAAAAAGGUUAUCAAGUUGUUGCUUGAGCCCUACUCUUAGUUUAUUAUACAUUGAUAUUUGGGCCUGGUGUUUUAUGGAUUUAUGUGUGGACCAGUAUCAAGAGGAUGCUAAUUACAACGAAUUUUCACAUCUGCAAGUAGAGCCAUCUUCCCGACAAUGCUCUUCUAAUGAUUUGAGACAAAAGGAGGUACAUCAUUCUAGCGGAAUCAUUGACUAAAUAUAUAGUAUCCAUGCAAUGUUUCAUUCAUUCAGGAUUAUUGUUGCACUUGUACAACUGUAUAAAUACACUAUUUUCACUUGCAUUUAGUUUGAUGUGUGUAUAUAGAAUUCAAGUGAUGGUAGAAUAAAAAAAAGAAAGGUAUAUGAGAAACACACUUCUCUAUUGAUAAAAUUAAUAUUUUUAUGCUAAA